rnacentral:rRNA from 1 species
AUGUCCAUGCUCGCGUGCGCGCUUCAAACCAUGGGCUCCUCCUGCAGCAGACCUCACUCCGUAAACGAGGCCGAGGCAGCCGACAACACAAGAUCUGCAGACAUCGACCGGCGGAUUCUGCAGGAGACAAAGGCGGAUCAGCACGUCCACAAGCUCUUGCUUCUCGGUGCUGGAGAAUCAGGAAAGUCCACGAUAUUUAAGCAGAUUAAGCUUCUUUUUCGAACCGGCUUCGACGAGGCAGAACUCAAGGGCUAUAUGCCGGUCAUCCAUGCCAACGUGUUCCAGACAAUCAAAAUACUGUAUGAUGGAGCUAAAGAGCUUGCCCAACUGGAAACUGAGUCUUCAAAACAUGUUAUAUCCCCGGAUAAUCAGGAGAUUGGAGAAAAACUAUCAGAAAUCGGAGGCAGGUUGGAUUACCCACUCCUUAACAAAGAACUCGUACAGGAUGUAAGAAAAUUAUGGGAAGAUUCAGCCAUUCAGGAAACUUACUCGUGUGGAAGUGUGCUGCAAGUUCCUGAUUGUGCACACUACUUCAUGGAGAAUCUGGACCGAUUAGCUGAACCAGAUUAUAUACCAACAAAGGAGGAUGUGCUCCAUGCCAGAGUACGGACAAAUGGGGUUGUGGAAAUUCAAUUUAGCCCCCUUGGAGAGAGUAAAAGAGGCGGAGAGGUAUACAGGUUGUACGAUGUAGGAGGUCAAAGGAAUGAGAGGAGGAAGUGGAUUCAUCUUUUUGAAGGCGUCGAUGCCGUCAUCUUUUGCGCUGCCAUUAGCGAGUAUGAUCAGCUGUUGUUUGAGGACGAGACACAGAACAGAAUGAUGGAGACGAAGGAACUGUUCGACUGGGUACUAAAGCAAAGAUGUUUUGAGAAAACAUCGUUCAUGCUGUUCCUCAACAAAUUCGACAUAUUUGAGAGGAAAAUACAAAAGGUUCCUUUGACCGUGUGCGAGUGGUUUAAAGAUUAUGAGCCGAUCGCGCCUGGCAAACAGGAUGUGGAACAUGCCUAUGAGUUUGUGAAGAAGAAAUUUGAGGAGGUCUACUUCCAGAGCAGCAAGCCGGACCGUGUGGACCGGGUGUUCAAGAUCUACGGGUGUUCAAGAUCUACAGAACGACGGCGCUGGACCAGAAACUUGUAA